UAUCUUUAACUUAUUUCGAUUUAUUAUACAAAAUUUAAAAUGCUCCUUACUCUUAUAAUAAUUAAAGAUUCGAAAAAAUCAAUCUAUCAUAUCUGUGGUUGAUGUACAACAAACUGUGUCAAAAUAUUUUUAAUAAUGUUAAUAUCUAGAGAGGAAAAUGACGACUAUGUUUGUAUGGAGACGCGGCCGUGGCUUAUCCUCUUAACUAAACAUUAUACAUUCAAAGUGAUGUUAUCAAAUGUGUAGUAAUAUAGUACACGUUUCGUGUACAAUGACACUUUGUCAAUAAUUUUAACAACGUGAGUGUGACAACCCUAGCGCUCGGCGGCAGGCGCAAGUCCGCGCGACACUACGUUAUCGCCUCCGCGGGCCAUACAGACAACGGUGACGAAUAGAAACGCACUAACUUUUUACUGCCCUGCCUAGGCUACCCACUUUACUAAUUUAUAAGUGAGCGACCUACUAAUAAAACUUAACUCAUGAUUGUGUUGCAACAACAAUGUAGCGGCUAUUUCGUUAGUUCCCUUCAAUAUGUGAAAUUGACAGACUAGCAGCUACUCAAAUUUGGCUUUGGAGAUAUUCGAAAGCUUCGCGUCUCAUCUGGUCCACUUUCAUGCGCGGCCAUGAUUUAUUUCUGCGACUGCCACAGUUAGGAAGGCGAACCGUGGGAACGCCAGGCGGGUGCACUUCCCAAAACAUCGACGCACAGCAGCGAGUCCGACAUGCGCCCCACAGACAAAGACGAAACAUUCAGAAACCCCCAAGUAUGACCAAGAUGCAGAAUGUGACGUGUGCGCGCCAAGCGACAGCUUACAAUCGCGUGAUCUACAAGAAAUAAUAAAACGGCAAUAAAAGAAACACGAGACGGCGCGAGCGAACGGCUCGCGAGCGAGCGAGAGGGAAACAAGUGGUGAAGGUGUGCGCGCGCGCUCGAGUUACCGCAUUUGAAUUUUCAAAGAUCAAUGAUCGAUGCGAUAAGAGGGACGCGCGCUCAAAUAAGGUGGUGAGAGAGAUAGAUGCGGCGCGCGCGCGGGUGAAAGGAGACGCGAGAUGGAUUGGCUCGUGGCAGUUUCAGGGCACGCUUCGGCAGUUGUUUCUUCGAUGUUUGUAGAGAUGGCGCUGUCGGCUAAACUAUAGCUCUACUUUUGCACAGAUUUGUUGCGACAUUGAUAUUUGGAUAUGGUUUCUUUAGCAAGGCAACCGUUUAUAAAAAUAGAAAUAUAAUUCGAUUAAAGCAUUUGAAAUAGGUAUACAAAAUUUUGAAUCCCAUUAUCUUCCCGCUAUAACACAUUUUUUUGUAACACUUUUUUUUAAAUCAAACAAAAAUAGAAAUAAAAACGACUUUCCGUAUUUCCAAAAUUUUAGGACUUAUGAACUUAAUGUAAAAGGGGCUUUUUAGCGACGCUAGCGCCCGUGGUUGAUUUUGAUAGCAUUUUAGUUCAUCGCCACCCUUCUAGAUGGCGCUGAAAACACAGCUUUGGCAGCGAUUUUGAUAUCCCAGCUUGUGUUAAGUAAAAUUCAUAAUUUCGUAGAAGUUUGACGUUUAAAAUAACCCUGAUCCUGAUUUGGCAGCCCUAUUAGGGCUGCCAAAAUGGCUGCCAACUUAUGUUUGUCUGACUCUAGUAUUGAUUUUUUCCAGAGUAUGAAUGAGUAAAUUAAAGUUUUAUCUUACUUAUGUUAUUUUUCUGAUUAUGAAUGUGAUAUAAGUAUAGUUGGCGUUGAUUGACCGGUUGGCCCAGUUAUUCUGUAGGUAAUCAGAUAUUUAUUUUGCCAUUAUUAGGCAUCAUAAAAAAACAUAUUAUUAUUUGACAGAACCGUGAGGGAUGUGUUUUACUUUGAUGAUCUUUGACACGAUAAUUUUGAAUAAUGAUGUAAGUAAUUAGUCGGAAUUAAAAAAAAAUUUAGGACUAUUUAGAUGGUGCAAGAAAUCGCAUGCGAGUUUCAUUACAUUGCGAUAUUAGUACUAGUGCUACACCAAAAAAAUCUGCAAACGAUGUUAAAAGCAUGAAAAUCAGAACGAUUGAUCUUUAGGCCAUAUGAAUCAAUUUAACCCGUGACAUGUGAAUCAAUUUAAUUGAUAGAUCAUACUUUGUAAUAACGAAAAAGUGGAAAGAAACACUAAAUGUAAGUAUUGUCAAAAUUGCUUUCUUGGGGUUAGAUAUGAGGAUAGUAGGUAUCAUUUUAGGUAUAUUUCACAAAAAAUGAUUCAAUGGUAUCGUAUCUGAAGAAGCCCAAACUUAGUAUGUUUUGAAAAUUAUUUUAAUUAGAACAAGUGACUGAAAUGUAAUGAUGUGAUAUAUUUUAAAAACCGGCCCAGAAACCCCUUUCAUUGAAUACCACACACGAUAGAUUUUAGAUUUUUUUUUUCAUAUAAAAAAACA